CCUACGGGAUGCUGAACCAGCCAAGUCGCGUGAGGGAAGACGGCCCUACGGGUUGUAAACCUCUUUUGUCGGGGAGCAAAGAGAGUCACGUGUGACUCAUUGAGAGUACCCGAAGAAAAAGCAUCGGCUAACUCCGUGCCAGCAGCCGCGGUAAUACGGAGGAUGCGAGCGUUAUCCGGAUUUAUUGGGUUUAAAGGGUGCGCAGGCGGAGGUGCAAGUCAGCGGUCAAAUUGCGGGGCUCAACCCCGUACUGCCGUUGAAACUGCCUCCCGUGAGUGCGCGAGAGGUAGGCGGAAUGCGUGGUGUAGCGGUGAAAUGCAUAGAUAUCACGCAGAACUCCGAUUGCGAAGGCAGCAUACCGGCGCGCAACUGACGCUCAGGCACGAAAGCGUGGGUAUCGAACAGGAUUAGAUACCCUGGUAGUC
rnacentral:rRNA from 1 species